CUUGCUUCUCUUGAGAGCGGCGGACGGGUGAGUAAUGCCUAGGAAUCUGCCUGGUAGUGGGGGAUAACGUUCGGAAACGGACGCUAAUACCGCAUACGUCCUACGGGAGAAAGCAGGGGACCUUCGGGCCUUGCGCUAUCAGAUGAGCCUAGGUCGGAUUAGCUAGUUGGUGGGGUAAUGGCUCACCAAGGCGACGAUCCGUAACUGGUCUGAGAGGGUGAUCAGUCACACUGGAACUGAGACACGGUCCAGACUCCUACGGGAGGCAGCAGUGGGGAAUAUUGGACAAUGGGCGAAAGCCUGAUCCAGCCAUGCCGCGUGUGUGAAGAAGGUCUUCGGAUUGUAAAGCACUUUAAGUUGGGAGGAAGGGUUGUAGAUUAAUACUCUGCAAUUUUGACGUUACCGACAGAAUAAGCACCGGCUAACUCUGUGCCAGCAGCCGCGGUAAUACAGAGGGUGCAAGCGUUAAUUGGAAUUACUGGGCGUAAAGCGCGCGUAGGUGGUUUGUUAAGUUGGAUGUGAAAUCCCCGGGCUCAACCUGGGAACUGCAUUCAAAACUGACUGACUAGAGUAUGGUAGAGGGUGGUGGAAUUUC
rnacentral:rRNA from 1 species